CAUCAACUGUGUUUCUCCUUCCACAAAUAGCAGUGAUUAAUGCCAAAUCCCUGUUGCUUGUGGAGAGGGUGAUGUUUGACUUUCUUGUACAGCUGCAGUUUGUGUGGUGCAGGUGCUCUCACAGUGUGGUUGGAUUCCACCAUCUGCCAAGAUGGGAUUCGAACCAGGACUUCAGUCGUUUGUUUUAAUAAUCUGGAUAAAAGUCAAAUACAUCAGGAUAUUAUAGGUGGACAUUCA